rnacentral:misc_RNA from 1 species
CACAUCUGCUCCUCUCAAAUGCAUUAGCUGGAUCUCCGUGAGCUCGGUUCCACUCGGCGUGAUAAGUAAUCACUCGCUGAGGACACUGUAAAAAGUGGGCCGGGUCCACAGACGAACUGCUUCCAACCAUCCAUUAGCUUGGAUGAUUUGAACCUUUACGAUCUGAUCUCAAAUCAGGUAGGAAUACCCGCUGAACUUAA